rnacentral:lncRNA from 1 species
CUUCCAAUAUUUUUGUUCUGAUGCGCUUCUUUCUCCUUGAUGAUAAGCAAGCUAGAGUAGCAUGGAUGUGGUGAUGAUGUGAAGAAGUGGCAGAUCAGAGAAUAUGGAGAACCGUGCGCACGAAAGGAGGGGGUGGGCAUGUAUAGAGAAACCACGGGUUGCUGAACGGGAGAGAGAUGGAGGAGUCACGAGUAGGCAGCA